AGCUUUUGGGGUAGCCCCCACUCCAGUUGUUCAGGACCCACAUGAAGACCAAGCUGUAUACCUGCUACAUAGGUGCGGAGAGACCUAGGUCCAGCCCAUGUAUGUUCUCCAGUUAGUGGUGCAGUCUCCGAGAGCCCCAAGAUUGAGAAAGGAUCUUCACCAACCCUGCAUCUGACAGAAGACUGAUAACCAAAAUUUAUAAAGAACUCCACCUUAUUUUUUGAGGUAGGGUCUUUCACUAAACCCCUGGCGUUCACUGAUUCGGCAGGAUUGUCUGGCCAAAAGCCCAGGGGCCCCGUCUGCCUCCCUCGCACAGAGAUUGCAGGUGCACAAGGAUGAGUCUGAUUCUUUAUGUAGGUGCUGAAGACUUGAACUCGGGCCCUCACGGUUGUUCAGGAAGCAUUUUACUUACUGAGCCGUCUCCUCUGCCCUCCAGUCUAACACGCUGUAAAAUGACAGUGAACACUUACUCUGGUUUCCCCAUUUACUGUUGAAAAGGAUAAUCAUAGCUAAUAGAUGGUUGAAUCAGAACUCCCUGGACCCCCACUUUUUGCAAGUCCCAAGGCCAUCAUGGAUCUGAGCCACAGCCAUUCAUGGUCUGAAGCAAGCUGAGGUCAUGCAGUGAUGGAUACAUCCAGACGAUCGAAGCCUUGAGCUUUAAUGAGCCUUAACACUGGAAAAGCACACUGCCCUGGCGUCACGUGCUUCUAGGUGAGAGGCCACAGAAACUACCCAGCAGCCUGGGAAACCGUACUUUAACCUGAUGGAAACCAAGCCUCCCAGUCAUCCCUCCACUUUUAGGUGUGAAAGAGCAUAUUAGGAAACGGUGUGGGGACACAGUCCUUCAAGUUCUGGGGGCUGGGGCAUCUGCAGGUGAAAUGGAUUGGUUUCUUCAGUCUAUAGUGGGGUGAGAUGUGAUGUAGAAUUGGCUGUGGAUGCAGAUUCAGAUGAUGUGGGAGGCGCCAAAGACAGCAUGAGACCAAGGAUUCUCAUUUAGAAAAGCCAACAGCAGAAAGACACUUAAGAAGACAAAAAGGGAAUUAUGAACCUGGAAAAGACAGGUUUUAAUAGGCAUCACUGAGAGUACAAUUGUGACAUUUUCUAAUGUUCUUAAUUUUUAAAUAUUGAGUUAGCUAAGUUCUAUUUUAUUGAGACCCUCACAUGAGUGGCACAUCUGUACCACCAUCCCCCACCCUGAAAUCCUUUGUGUGCCCUUUCCCUUCAAACUCCAAAUUCCUGUUAUCUUCUUUAUUAUGAUGAUAUACAACCUACUGCAUACAUUUAGUGUUGCUCAUAUUCAUGUGUCCAGGGCUGGCAGCUCAGGAUUGGACGACACCUGCAUGUGAAACACCCCUGGAGGGAAUGGCUUCUCUCUCGCUCUCCCAGCAGACACUGGCCACCCGCAGCCCUUCACGUAGAGACAGUUUCUCGGGAUGUCUGCUUCCUGCGGAUGGAGUUGUGCACAUCGGGAUCUUUCGAGGCAUUUUCCCAUUUCUUCUGUAUUAUCAAAUGCACAACGCUGUUCCUAAAGCUGUGCACAGGGCCGUGCGUUAACUUCUCACCACUGCGACGAUUACCUGAGAAGAACACUCGAGAGGAGGGAAGAUUUAUUUUGGCUCACAGUUUCAAAGCUUUCAGCCCGGGUUUCUGUCUCCAUUGUUUUUGGUCUGUGGGGAUUGUGGGAUCUUUCGUCUCCGUAGAAGGCUAGGGUGGGACAGAGUCUCAUAGCAGCUAAACACAGACAGACAGA